UUCGUAAUUUUAAUUAUUUCCAAAGGUUGUUUUAGGAAAUAUUUUAAAUUUAAUAUUGUAAAUAUUGUAGUUACAGACAAAUGGCUUUAUAAGCCAAUUUUUAUUAAAAAUAGCAACUACCAUAGUAUAGAAACCGUUUCAAAAUUUCCACGACAACUUCCACCAACCAUCCGACACAAGGUCGAGUACAACCUCCAUCCUCCGUGGUGCUCUGUUCUUCUCUAGCUGUAUCAAGCAUCCAGUCAGACUGCUUAACAACAAUCUUCUGUUUCGGACUCAGUCUUGAUUUCAGAGGUUUAUCCUCGCCGUGCGCGUCUCUAGGUAUCUGGGAUCUGUCGAUCGUCGGACCGGAGACUCUCUUCAUCUCAGGUGAUUUGAUUCUGAAUUCUUGUACAAUUCCUAAGAAUUGUAGCACUUGUGCUUUCAAUUUUCUCGAACUCGUUUAAUUGCAGAAAUUAAUGGCUUCUAAUAUGGAGUUAACUGCAAAUCCUGAUUUCAAAAGACUUCAAGCAUUACAAAUGGAGCAAACUAAAGAAAUGAAUGAAUUUUGUAUCGUUAUGACAAAUACAAUACAAUGGAUUUCAAAUCAAAUAAUGAAUAUGGGAAAAGAAACAAAAAUUCCAGAACCACCAGAUGGGGAACAAAACAAGCAAAACAGAGAAUUUGGUGAUCAAAGCUACCUAUCUUUAGUGGAUCUCGACAACCCCAUAUAUGCAGUUAGCAUACUGAAUGAUGACAAUUACAAUCCAGCAAAGAAUAUUAAAGUAGACUUGCCAAGAUUUGAGGGCAAAAAUGUCGAAGAUUGGCUAUUUCAAGUAAGAAGAUUUUUUUAUAUAUAAUAAGACUUCGGAAGAACAAAAAUUAUUAAUGGUUUCAUUCCAUAUGGAUGGAAUAGCGAGAAAAUGGUUUUCUUGGAUAGAGGCUAGCAACUUCCUCAGUGAUUGGAAAAAAUUUGUAAAAGAUGUAUGUAAAAAAUUCAGCAAAGGUAAUUAUACUCUCCCCGGAGGCAAACUAAGCAAAUUAAUGCAAGUGGGCUCUGUUGCUGAAUAUCAAACAGAGUUUGAAGAAAGGUGCACAAUGUUUAGGCCUACCAGAUUACUUUAUACUGGAAAUGUUCAUUUCUGGCCUCAGAAAUGACAUUCAAAAAGAGGUGGUAAAAUUCAAGCCAAAUGACAUACAAGAAGCAUUUGACAUGGCAGCCUUAGUAGAAGGAAAGAAAGUAGGAAGUGGAUCAAAUUGGAUCCCCAAAACAGCAAGAAGUACCUAGAAAUAACAACAAAAAGAGCUGACAAAUCCAGCAACAACUGAAAAAAUUCAGUAUGCAAAAGGAGGUCAAGAACAACCCUAUACCAAACCAGUCUUUAAAAGACUAUCACCUGAAGAAAGAACAGCAAAAGGACUUUGUUUUAACUGUGAGGACAUGUUCAUACCAGGGCAUAAAUGCAAAGGUAAAAUGUUUAUGUUAUCUGCAGAUGAAUCAUAUUUGCUAGAAAUGGAAGAACAAAAAGAAGUUAUGAAUAUGGAGGAAGAAAAUGUUGAAAUACCCAUCAUAAGAAAUAAUGAAGCUCCUACUGGUAUUAGCAUGCAUGCAUUCGAAGGACAAAUGAAUCCAAGCACAAUCAGGCUGGAAGGAUUCAUAAAAAUGCAAUCAGUGAGUAUUUUAGUUGAUUCGGGCUCCACACAUAAUUUUAUACAAUUAGCUGUAGCAUCUGCCUUAAAAUUAACUAUAUAUGCUACUAGACCAUUUAAAGUAGCCACAGAAAGUGGAGAAAAUCUCACUUGUGACAAAUUGUGCAAGGAUGUAGAAAUUAAAAUACAAGGUGUGGUAGUGACAUUGGAUGUAUUUUUAAUACCAAUGGCUGGAUCUAAUCUAGUAAUUGGAUUACAGUGGCUGAAAAAGUUGGGGUAUAUUGUCUCAAAUUAUGAAAAAUUAACAAUGAAGUUCAAAUGGGCAGGAAAAGAGGUAACUUGGCAAGGUAUAUCUUGGAUAUUUGAUGACCCAUUAACAGUGGGAGAACUGAAAAGUCUAUGUCAGGUAACCAUAGAGGCUUAUUUAUGUUAUUAUGAAGCUUCUUCAAAUAAUGAAUCCAGCAAGGUUCUGAGCAAAAAAAAUUCAGAAAUUCACGAAAUACUAAACGAAUUUUCAGAUAUAUUCUCUGAUCCUAAAGGUCUGCCUCCACAAAGAGAGAGAGAUCAUCUGAUACAUUUAAUACCAGGAGCUAAGCCAGUGAAUGUGAGACCUUAUAGGUACCCACAAUUUCAAAAAAAUGGAAUAGAGAAGCUAAUUUCAGAGAUGCUAGAUAAAGGCACCAUCAAACCAAGCCUAAGUCCAUAUUCUUCUCCAGUAUUACUCAUAAAGAAAAAAGAUAGUGGUUACAGAAUAUGUGUAGAUUAUAGAGCACUCAAUGCUCUAACUAUCAAAGAUAAAUUCCCCAUCCCAACGGUGGAUGAAUUGUUGGGGGAAAUGAAAGGAUCUACAAUAUUUUCUAAGCUAGAUCUGAGAUCAGGUUUUCACCAGAUCAGAGUUUGCCCAUCAGAUACUCACAAAACAAUAUUCAGAACACAUGAAGGCCAUUUUGAAUUUAUGGUUAUGCCAUUUGGGCUAACUAAUGCACCAACCACUUUUCAGACAGUUAUGAACUCUGUUUUUUUUUUAAAUAUUGAGAAAAUUCGUAAUAAUAUUUUUUGAUGAUAUAUUGAUCUACAUCCUUCACUUGAAGAACAUAUAACACAUUUGGGCAGAGUAUUUGAGAUACUCAGAAACAAUCAGCUAUUGGCAAAACUAUCUAAGUGCUCAUUUGGGAAAUCAUCCAUUGGCUUCCUAGGACACAUAAUUUCAGAAAAAGGAGUUCACCCUGAUCCAGAUAAAGUAAGUGCAAUGACAGAAUGGACGGUACCCAAAACCAUCAAACAACUCAGAGGUUUUUUGGGUCUAACUGGUUAUUAUAUAAGGUUCAUAAAGAAUUAUACUCAGAUUGCUGCACUUAUGACAAACCUAUUGAAGAAGGACAGUUUUAAGUGAUCUGAAGAUAGUAAAACUAGUUUUGAGACUUUGAAGGCAGCUAUGAUAAAGGCUCCUUUUUUAGCAUUUCCAGAUUUUGAAAAAUUAUUCAUAUUAGAGACCGAUGCUUGUAACAGUGGGGUGGGGGCAGUACUUAUAUAGGAAUACCAUCCUAUUUCAUUUUAUAGCUGCAAAAUAUCUGGAGAAAUUGCAGGUGCUUCAAUCUACAUAAAAGAAAUGUUUGCCAUAACACAGUCAGUCCAUAAAUGGAGACAUUAUUUGCUUGGUGCUCCCUUUACUAUAAGAACUGAUCACAGAAGUUUAAAAAAUUUAUUGACACAGGUCAUUCAGACCCCAGAGCAACAGGUAUUCUUAUGUAAAUUAUUGAGUUUUGAUUUUCAGAUCGUAUACAAACCAGGGAAAUCAAAUGUGGUGGCUGAUGCUUUAUCUAUAUCAUUUGAAGGAGAAGAAGAAGAAGAAAUUAUUUAUUCUCACUCAUCCAAGGGAAAUCCAUGCUCAUUUUUAGCUCUCUCAACUCCUAUAUAUAAUUUGAUAGAUGUAAUCAGAAAAGAAAACAAGGAAAAUAAGCCCUGAGAGAAUUGAUGGAAGAAAUCAGCAAACACCCUAAUUCCAAGGUUGGUUUCACAGUGCAAGGAGAAAUUAUUAAAUUCAUAGGAAGAAUAUAUAUAUCAAAAAAUUCUAUUUUAAGGGAGGAAAUUAUGAAAGAAUACCAUUCAACAGUAACUGGAGGGCACUCUGGGAUCAAGGCAACUACCAAAAGAAUUAAUCUACAAUUUUGGUAGGAAGGUAUGUCUAAAGAUAUUAGAGAAUUUGUGUUAAAUUACAAAAUAUGUCAACAGAUGAAGCCCAUAAACCAAAAGAAGGAGGGUUUACUCAUGCCAUUACCCAUACCUAAUAUGGUUUGGAAGAAUGUAACAAUGGACUUCAUCAUCGAGCUACCACAAGUAGAAGGAAAAAUAAUCAUCAUGGUAGUGGUGGAUAGAUUAUCAAAAUAUGCAUACUUUGAAGCUUUACCCACAAAUUUUAAUGCAAGUAUGGUAUCUGAAUUAUUUACAUCAAUGGUCAUCAAAUUACACGGAAUACCAAGUUCCAUUGUCUCAGAUAGGGACAAGAUAUUCACUUCCAAAUUUUGGAAGGAAUUGCAUAACAAGAGUGGGACCAAACUACAUUACUCUACUGCCUAUCACCCGAAAAGUAAUGGCCAAACAAAAGUGGUCAACAGAGGUUUGGAAAUGUAUCUAAGAUGUUUUUGUCAUGAUGAUCCAAAAAAAUGGUUGAGCUUACUAUCAUGGGCUGAAUUAUGGUAUAACACCAAUUAUCAUUCAUCUAUCAAAACAACACCUUUUAAUGUGUUAUAUGGGAGAGAUCCACCAGGAAUUGCACAAUACACUCCCAGGGAUUCAAGCAUAGAUGCGGUAGAUGCAAGUAUGCAAGUAAGGGAAGAAGUUCUGAAUCACAUCAAAGCUAAUCUAAAGAAGUGCCAAGAAAUUAUGAAACUAAAGGCAGAUACAAAAAGAAAAGAUAUUGAGUUUAAUUUGGGCGAUUGGACAUGGAUUAAAUUAAAACCUUAUAAGCAGAGAGCACUAUGGCAUAUAGAUUGAAUCAUAAAUUAAGUAAAAGGUAUUUCAGACCUUACAAAAUUACACAGUGGAGUUACCCCAAGGCAGCAAGAUCCAUAACACAUUCCACAUAUCAAAAUUAAAGCCUUAUAGAGGAGAAAUACCACCACAUAAAGAAGUAAAACCAAUCCUAUCUAUCAACAAUCAACCAAUAGUCUAUCUGGUGGCAUUAAUUGACGCAAGAAAAAUAUACCGGAAUGGGAAGAUGACGGACCAGGUAUUGGUGCACUGGAAUGAUUCACAGCCGGAAGAUGCAUCUUGGGAGGAUUUCCUGCAGCUAGCAACUUUGUUCCCAUCCAUCACCAAUGAGGGCAUGGCGAUUUUCAAAAAGGGGAGAGAUGAUACAACUCGGCCGGCUACUAGAGAGAUUGCAAGGGAGGUAGCACGGGACUUGCUGGAGAUUCAAGAUCGAGAGAGUGAAGAGGUAAUCGGGCGUCCGAAAAGAUUGGCUAGGGCUCUGAGACGUUGGGACAAUUAUGUUACCCCAUUUGGGCGUAACUAAAGGGGACCAAUUUCAAUAUUUAAUUCAAGGACCAAUUUCGUAAUUUUAAUUAUUUCCAAAGGCUGUUUUAGAAAAUAUUUUAAAUUUAAUAUUGUAAAUAUUGUAGAUACAGACAGAUGGAUUUAUAAGCCAAUUUUUAUUAAAAAUAGCAACUACCAAAGUAUAGAAACCGUUUCAAAAUUUCCACGACAACUUCCACCAACCAUCCGACACAAGGUCGAGUACAACCUCCAUCCUCCGCCGUGCUCUGUUUUUCUCCAGCCGUAUCAAGCAUCCGGUCAGACUGCUUAACAACAAUCUUCUGUUUCGGACUCGGUCUUGAUUUCAGAGGUUUAUCCUCGCCGUACGCGUCUCUAGGUAUCUGGGAUCUGUCGAUCGUCGGACCGGAGACUCUCUUCAUCUCAGGUGAAGUGAUUUUGAAUUCUUCUAUAAUUUCUAAGAAAUGUAUCAGGAACUCUCAGUGCUAGGACUAUUUAUUUCUUAACCUGGGCUGUCAAGCAAUUUCUCCAAAUUAUUAUUAUUAUGACUUGGGCUUGGACUGAAAUUAUGUUGACCCCCACUCGAAAUAGAAAUAUCUGAAUUAACUUCGGUUGGGCCUGAUUUAAUAGUGAUCGAGCUUGAAAUUAAUUCUGGACUCCCAAUAAUAGCCGGGCCUGAAAUAUUAGUUUAUGGACAAAUAUCAUAAUCAUCCAUGUCCAAACAUUUAUUUAGAGAAAAAUCGUUUUCCUCAAACCUUACAUCUCUUGAGAUAUAUAACUUCCCAAUAACCGGAUCUAAACAGAUAUACCCUUCAUAAUUUACUGGAUACCCCAAGAAAAUGCACGGUGUAGAUUUCGGAUCCAACUUUGAAGACCUAACAUUUGCACCCGAACAACUUUAAGAUACCAUAACCUGGUUUCCUUCUGGUGAGACAUGCCUGAUCACGUCAGUCACUCCCAGCAACGCCCUUCGACAAGGACUAGGGUUCCGUCGCUUUAUGCCGGACCCCCGGAGAGUUCCACAAAUGCGGAGGAAGUGUCUACGUCAAGUACUCAAGGAAACACCUGGGAAUCGCCGAUUGGGACUACCAAGUCGCCGAUUCCAGGGGUGAAUCGCCGACUCUAGGCCUCGUGGUCAGUUCUGGUAGACUGCCAACUUGGCUCAUGGGGAGUCGGCGACUCCACCUCUGAAUCGGCGACUCCCAUACCUGAGUCGCCGAUUCCCAGCCGUUACUUGGGUGGGCCCACGUCAUUAAGGCACUCCUUAAUAGGAUACCUUAAUGGGGUGGGUCCCACGCUAAUGACUUGAGGGUAGAGGUCUCCCAAGGACCCCUUUUAUCACAAGCUAAAAAAAAAAAAAAAGUAUGGGGCUUUUUACCUUUUUUCACUACCAGUGAUACUGUCGGUCCAUUUCCGGAAUACCCAGAUCUAAUUUUGGGAUUCUACGACCACACAUCACGUGAAAAAAGUUUUCUCUACGAGUACAAUAAGGCAGAAUUUCCCAACAGUGCAAGGAAUCUUUUCUGGGUUAGGUCUAAACAGGCAUCCCGAAAACGACCUCCGGCGGCACGAUUUUCUGCUGAAAAAUUGCAAAAAAUUUGCGAUAUUUUUUGCUAAUUUCAAUCUUUGGGGACUAGUAGUACUGCUCAAGGGGGUCACAAAACUACAAAGAAAUAUUAUACGGAAUUUUUUUCUGUUUUGUGACACCCGGGGGGCAGGUACCUACCCAUAGCUUCCGACACUUCGGAAGAACUUCCACUCGUAGUCUGUUGCUUCGACCCAAUAGAAGCAACCAUCCCAUUUAUGGCUUUUUUUACUAAGGAUCAUAAAAAGAAAGCUCUUGCCAUUGCUACUGAGGUAGGAGUUUCUGGUAGGAGGGUUGGUUCCCGUACUAUACCAACCUCCAAUAUACCACUUUCGACACAUGAGGUGCCCUCAUCACUACCAUCAAAUGGGGGAGUGAACCUAACUCCUGCGCUACAAGAGAGGUUGAUUAACUUUAUGGAUUCUAUGGAAAAAAGAGUUAGAAACCUCGAGAAAGCAAGGGGCAAGAAGGCCAUCACCCGUGAAAGAGCGGGUGAAUCUGGGUCUUACUAUCUUCCGUCUACGGAGAAAAAGAGGAAAUCUCCAGCACCUCCUAAGGAAAAAGCUGGACCUAGCAAGAGUCGCACUCACAGGACUCUUAGAACAAAGUUCGUGGAAGAUCUUCGUCGGAAGCUGGCCGACAAUCCGGUCGCUAGCAGUCCGAUCGAGUUCUUGAGAAUCAAAAGCGCUCCUUUUCACAAGGACCUUUUGAAUGAAUCUUUUCCACCAACCUGGCGGGUACCCAAGAUAGAAGCGUAUGACGGUUCGAGUGAUCCGAAAGAUCACAUCNNNNNNNNNNNNNNNNNNNNNNNNNNNNNNNNNNNNNNNNNNNNNNNNNNNNNNNNNNNNNNNNNNNNNNNNNNNNNNNNNNNNNNNNNNNNNNNNNNNNNNNNNNNNNNNNNNNNNNNNNNNNNNNNNNNNNNNNNNNNNNNNNNNNNNNNNNNNNNNNNNNNNNNNNNNNNNNNNNNNNNNNNNNNNNNNNNNNNNNNNNNNNNNNNNNNNNNNNNNNNNNNNNNNNNNNNNNNNNNNNNNNNNNNNNNNNNNNNNNNNNNNNNNNNNNNNNNNNNNGACCUAAUCCCGAGUCUGGCCAUAGCGGGGUACAUGAAUGGGCUAGUGCCCUACUCCCCUUUGGCCCAGAACCUUACGCUCCAUAAAGUGGAGACCCUCCCCGACCUCUUCCAACGAGCUCAAUCGUUCAUUGAGAUAGAAGAGGAGAACAAUAAUAAGCUGGACGGAGUCGAGCCGCCCAGCCGGAAAAAAACCUCGCUAUGAAGAUACAUACGAGGAUACAAGUUCCCAGUCUGAAAUCUCGACUAGUCCUCCUCGGUACAGAGAGGAGCUUCUCAUCAACAGUUAUGACCACCAAAGGCAUCAUUCAUACUCUCAGUCUGGUAACAGUUAUGGCCACGAAAGCCAUAGUUCACACUCUCGGCCCAGUAACAGUUAUGACCAUAGCCCACGCUCUCAAUCCUAUGACAGUGAUGGCAACUAGAGCCACAGUUCACACUCGCAAUCAAAUGCAUCACAUUAGUAGUGAGGAACUNNNNNNNNNNNNNNNNNNNNNNNNNNNNNNNNNNNNNNNNNNNNNNNNNNNNNNNNNNNNNNNNNNNNNNNNNNNNNNNNNNNNNNNNNNNNNNNNNNNNUUAAGAGAUAGGAUUGGCCAGAGUAACCAUGCAGGCUAUGCUUCUGUCAGUGGCAACCAGCGACCAAAACAUGUCGAUUGUUUUAUUUGUCGCUCAUGCUAUUCUCAUGUAUUCUUAAUAGCGAUAUUAUUCUAAAUAAAUCUCUCUUUAAUCCAUAGAGAUAUAUGCAGUAUCGUGUUUAGAAUAAUCAUCCAUCGCUUCAGACGGAUCAAUCAUCCAUCGCUCCGGCUAGAUGACAUCCGUCUCUUCAACCUCAUUUAUCAUCCAUCGCUUUGGCUGGAUGAUACACGUUGCUCAGACCUAGCUUACGACCCGCGAGUCUAAGCGAUGGUUACAAAAUCCAAUUUACGUCCAAAGUGACUAAAUUGCGAUUACAAGUCUAGUUUACGAUUUAUGAGUCCAAAUUGCGACUAAGAAUCUAAAUCGGAUUCUCAUUUACGAAUCUAGCCUCGAUAUUCUAAAUUUUCGACUACAAUCAACGAUACCCUCGUUUUCAAUCUAUUUUAUCGCUAUGGUCUUAAUAGACCAAGGAUCAUUUUGUCGCCUUCGCCUUAAUGAUCCUAUCCCAUCUUGUCGCUAUGGCCUUGAUAAGGAUCGAGAGUCACUCUGUCGCUAUGGUCGGAGCUUGACUAAUACACCAGGGUUCAAGUCUAGAAUUGUAGUCCUAAAUUGUAGUUCUUAGUCUCUAUGCUAGUACAAGUUACAAAAUAGAAUAGUUAGAUUUUAUUUUUGUGACACUCUUUCGAAAUCACUACCUACGACUCUAACUAGUACCCUACAUUAGAAAUCUAUUUUGUCGCUUUGGCCUUAAUAGAUCAAGGUCCAUUUUGUCGCUUUGGCCUUAAUGGACCAAGAAUUAUUUUGUCGCUUUGGCCUCAAUAAUUCUUCUAUCUUGUCGUUUUGGCCUUGAUAGACUUGGAGAUCAUUUUGUCGCUUUGGCCUUAAUGAUCUCAUCCCAUCUUGUCGCUUUGGCCUUGAUGCUGAUCCAAAAGUUACUCUGUCGCUUCGGCCAGAGUUUAACUACAUUAGGGUAUAAGUGUAGAGUCUUAGGUAGUUGAUAAUUACAAAUGAACCUAACGCCAAGAGGUUCUAAGUACCCACAAUACAAAAAUCUUUUUUGUCGCUAUGGCCGUAAUAGAUUUAAAUCGUUUUGUCGCUAUGGCCUUAACGAUCCUACCCCAUCUUGUCGCUUUGGCCUUGAUGCGGGUCCAAAAGUUACUCUGUCACUUCGGCCAGAGCUCAACUACACAUUAAGGAAUGAAAUCUAGAAUCUUAGGUUCUCAAAAAAGUUCUAAGCCCUAUUCCCGACAAUUUUUGUAUCUCCAACUUAUUACGUCAAUUAACUUUGCGAGUCUUAAGUUAGUUGUGAAGUUUAAUUUAUUUCACGAAUUUAGCCGUAGACUGAGCUACGAUUCGUACGACCAAGUCUACGCCCAGAGUGGCUAGCAAUAGGGUUACCAGAGUCUAAUUUACGUUCAGAGUGGCUAAAUUACGACUUGUGAAUCUAGUUUCGGGUCUUAGUUACAAUUCAAAAAAUAAAUUAAAUAAACAAUUAAGAAAGCAAAAUAAUUGGUUAAAAUAAGUUCCAAAAAAUUGUGUAUGACCAAAGCACAAUCUUCGGGGGGAGUAUCACAAGCUCUCCCGGCACUUCUGUCGCUUCGGCCAGAAGUCGUCAAAAUCCGAGGGGGAGUAUCACAAGCUCUCCCGGCACUUCUGUCGCUUCGGCCAGAAGUCGUCAAAAUCCGAGGGGGAGUAUCACAAGCUCUCCCGGCACUUCUGUCGCUUUGGCCAGAAGUCGUCAAAAUUCGAGGGGGAGUCGCCGACUCCAGCACACGAGUCGCCGAUUCAGUGACAGGAAUCGGCGAGGCAUGGCCAGCAGUCGCCGACCCAAUGGCAGCUAAGCCCUGCCCCCUUCGCUUGAAGGAUUUCCCUUUAACAGGGCCUGCAUGAGUCGCCGACUCCACAAUGGGAGUCGCCGACACAGAGGCCACGGGAAUUUCCCCCAGCUCAAGAGGCUCCCGUACGACUACAAGGGCCCUACACGGAGUCGCCGACUCCACAAGGGGAGUCGCCGACACUGGCGGGGCGCCCAGUAGUUCGUGCACGGUGGCACUCAGCUCCAUUCCAUGAGGUGGCACGACCGAAAUCGCCGACUCAACCUCUCUGUCAGGAGAGGGAAUCGGCGAUUCAACGGUGUUCAACACCUCAUCAAGGUUAUCAACAAUCAGAUCAGCUAUGAAAGCUGACGUUUCGUUUUCUUUCAAAGAAGACAAAGGGGAAUCGGGGUAGACAUUGGGUGAAUCGGCGAUUAGAAGUUUUAGAACUAUAGAAUCGGCGAUUCAAAGGUCUGGAGGUUUGGGCGAUCAAGAGAGGCAAAAGAGUGUUGUGAGGGUUUGGGGAAAACCUCUCCACUAUUUAUAGCCCUUGGGAAAAUUGCAAAAACCCCCCAGAAAACCCAAAAUUUACGAAUUCUGAGAUCAAGAUUCGAUCUCCAAAUCCCCCAAAUCACGCCAAGUCGCCAACUCCACAGGGCAGUCGCCGACUCCGGGCAAAAACUCACAGCACUGUGAGAAACAUUUUCUUAUUUGGAGAUUUUACAAAUAUUCCCCGUAUAUCUUCCAAAUAUCCCAAGGAUCUCCCAAAAAGAUCCGACGGUUACACUAGGAGUCGCCGACUGGCAAGAGUAUCACAAACUCCAGUCGCCGAUUCCGGGUAAAAUAACACUAAAAACUGCCCCAAGUGCAAGUUUUCAGGGGGGAGUAUCACAAACUCUCCCGGCACUUCUGUCGCUUCGGCCAGAAGUCGUCAAAUUUCAGGGGGGAGUAUCACAAACUCCCCCGACACUUCUGUCGCUUUGGCCAGAAGUUGUCAAAUUUCAAGGGAAGAGUAUUANNNNNNNNNNNNNNNNNNNNNNNNNNNNNNNNNNNNNNNNNNNNNNNNNNNNNNNNNNNNNNNNNNNNNNNNNNNNNNNNNNNNNNNNNNNNNNNNNNNNCUCCAGCCUGGCGGGUACUCCUCGUCCAGCAGGUGCUGCGCUAGGGCCUCUCCACUGCCCCCUCCCGGCGUCGUUGCCACAAUGGUUCGCGGGGCCUCCACGGGUGGGGCGUCGCUCCCGGGUCUCCCGUCCGGGGGGGCGGGCGGCCCGUACAUGGGAUCCCCUCCUCCGCCCCCGUCCGACUCCAGGGUGUGUGGGUCAUCGUAAGCUGGUGCACCUGCUCUUGUAGCUGACGCUGGCUCUCCUGUAGGGUGGAUAUCAGUUCUACGAGCUGCAUCCUCUCUCGCUUGCUCUCUUUUUCCGCGCGCUCUUUCUCCUCCACGCGCUCCCUUCGCCGGAGCCUCUCGUGCUCCUUUUCCCUUCUCUCCCGGGACCGCGACCGGGACCGCGUUCUCCUGACCUUGGGUGGGGAUGCCGGUUCUUUGCGCCGGCGCCUUUUGGGUGACUCCCAUCCGUACUUGAUCUCCUCGAGCUCCAUGCGCAGCCUAUCCUCCUCGCCGUCCCAUUCCUCGUUGGCCCUUACCUCCUCCGAAUACCGGUCGCGGGAGUGGUGUCGCGCCGGCUGGUACUCCUCCGCUGCCCGCUCGGGUCGCUUUGAGCACUCCCCUACUUGGUAUUCGCUCCUCGUCAUCCUUCUCUCUCCGGCUGUCAUGUGUUUGUUUCACGUCAGGUUCACCACUGUUGGUGUGAGAGUUCGCCGGAGCUAGCUCACCGUCCAACCUAGUACUAGUGUCUCUCUCUCUCAGAAUUACCAACCCCUCCCCCAGUUGGACCAGGGGAGGUAUUUAUAGCCUUCACUUGCUGUCCUUGGGCCUCGUGGGCUCGUGCGUUGGGCCCGUCCGUCCGUCUGGGCCGGUUCGGUCCAUGGGCCGCGGUCCGCGGUCCAUGGUACCAACACCAAGAAAGGCAGUAGAUGCAGACCGGCGGAAAAGAUGAAGAGAACUCACCGGCGGACUAGAUGAGGAGAACUCGCCGGUUGAAGAGAUGAAGAGAAAUCAUCCAGAUUUGGUGAUUUGGAGAGAAAUUUGGGAGAACUCGUUGGUUUUGGGGUUGAAAUUUUUAGGGAUUUGGAGGUUUAUAAAAUUGGAAUUUGGGGUUUUAUAAAAAUACUUAAUUUUAUAAAGAGAAUUUUAUAUAAAUAUAUUAUUCUUUUAAAUUUUUUAUAAAUAGGUCUCCAUUAUUAGUGACGAUAAAUUUUAAAUCGUCGUUAAUUGUUAUAUCUAACGACGAUUAUCAAAAUAUCGUCGCUAAUAUCGUGCGUUUUUUUCAAAAUCCUUUUUGAACUUUAGCGACGAUCCAAAAUCGUCGCUAAAAUCGUCGCUGAAAACCUCUUUUUUUGUAGUGUCCUAGAGGAGUUUCCAUUCAAUUGAGUGGGGCCCACCCCAUUAUGAUACCCUAUUGAAGGACGCCAUAAUGGUGUGGGCCCGACCAAGUAACGGCUGGGAGUCGGCGACUCAGGUGUGGGAGUCGCUGACUCAGAGGUGGAGUCGCCGACUCCUUUGAGGCCAAGUCCUCGGUCUACCAGACCCGAGUUCUCUGGCCGGAGUCGGCGAUGCACCACUGGAGUCGGCGACUUGGUAGUCCCAGUCGGCGACUCCCAAGUGUUGCCUUGGGCUCUUGACGUAGACACGUGCUCCGCACCGUGGAAGCCUUCCGGGGGUCCGGCAUAUAACGACGGAACCCUAUUCCUUGUUUGAAAGGCGUUGCUGGGAGUGACUGACGUAAUCAGGCAUGUCUCACCAGUACUCCCCCCUGAAGAGACCAUAGGAGACAUGUGUGUACCGCCAAUAUCCCCCCCCUAGCAAGGUGAUCCGCAUCAAGGCUAAAGCGACAAGAUGGGAUCGAAUCAUUGCGGCCACAGCGACACAAUGACUCCGUUAUCCAUGCACUAUCAGAUGGAUUGAUUCACUAUCAGAAUCUAGUUUCAGGCCAAUGGAACUACGUGUUUAUAGUCCAACUCUGAUCAGGAGCGACUUUUUCUGUGUUAUCAUCAAGGCCAAAGCGACAAGAUGAAGGGAGAUUAUUAAGGCCAAAGCGACAAAAUAACUCCCAUCCAUUAAGGCCGAAGCGACAAAAUGGAGCGACUCAUAAUCAGAGUCUGAUUCUGGCCCAAGCGACAGAAUGCGUGGAUCCUGGCCAAAGCGACAGGAUCUAGUUCACUAUCAGAACCGAUCUUUAUAGUCCACCCUGAUCAAGAGCGACUUUACGUCCGCAACGACGGUUACCCCACCAAGGCCAAAGCGACAAAGUGGGUCGAGAUCAUUAAGGCCAAAGCGACAAAAUGAUCUCCAAGUCUAUCAAGGCCAAAGCGACAAGAUAGAAGAAUUAUUGAGGCCGAAGCGACAAAAUAAGUCUUGGUCCAUUAAGGCCAAAGCGACAAAAUGGACCUGGAUCUAUUAAGGCCGAAGCGAAAAAAUAGACCUGAUUCUGGCCAAAGCGACAGAAUCAUUCCUGCAAAACAACUGUAUCAGUCUAAAGGAUAUAUUUAUUGAUUUACUGACCUUGCCGUGCGGGGCUGCUCCUCCUUAUGCUCAAUAAAUCCUUGAUUGAUUUGGCCGAAGCAACAUAUCUAUCAUGCUCAUAAUGUGACAGCUUCUGGCCGAAGCGACAGAAGUGUCGGGAAGAGCUUAUGAUACUCCCCCCCAAGUUCGACGACUUCUGGCCGAAGCGACAGAAGUGUCGGGGAGAGUUUGUGAUACUCCCCCUUGAGAUCAUUAAGGCCGAAGCGUCAAAAUGACCUCUGGUCCUUUAAGGCCGAAGCGACGAAAUAGACCGACUCACUAUCAGAGUCUGAUUCUGACCAAGGCUACAGAUCCACUAUCAGAAUCCGAUUCUCGCCUCGGAUACAGAACCUGCUGAUUCACUAUUAGAAUCUGAUUCCAGUCGAGGCUACAGAUUCACUAUCAGAAUCCGAUCAUAGCCCGGACUACGGAAUCUUACCUGCAAAAAAGGAAAACACUCUGCAAAACAACUAGAUUAGUCCAAAACGCAUAUAUUUAUUAUUGAACUUACCAUGCGAUUUACCUUUCGUGAUGCCCCUCCUUUGCUCAAAUUUGUCCUUGGUAAAUCUGGCCGAAGCGACAGUUUUUACCGUGCUCAAAUUUUUUGAUGACUUCUGGCCGAAGCGACAGAAGUGUCGGGAGAGCUUGUGAUACUCCCCCCGAAAUUUGACGACUCCUAGCCGGAGCGACAGAAGUGUCGGGAGAGCUUGUGAUACUCCCCCCGAAAUUUGACGACUUCUGGCCGGAGCGACAGAAGUGUCGGGAGAGCUUGUGNNNNNNNNNNNNNNNNNNNNNNNNNNNNNNNNNNNNNNNNNNNNNNNNNNNNNNNNNNNNNNNNNNNNNNNNNNNNNNNNNNNNNNNNNNNNNNNNNNNNAUUUUGACGACUUCUGGCCGAAGCGACAGAAGCGUCGAGAGAGCUUGUGAUACUCCCCCCUUGAAUUUUGACGACUUCUGGCCGAAGCGACAGAAGUGUCGGGAAAGCUUGUGAUGCUCCCCCUUGAAAACAUGCACUUGAGGCAGUUUUGCUGCUAUUUUACCCGGGAGUCGGCGACUGAGGCCACCAGUCGGCGACACCUAUGGUCUGGGUAACUGCAGGGGGCAUUUUUGUUUUUUACCCCUGUGAGUCGGCGACUCCCUCUAUGGAUCGGCGACUCCUAGCGUAACCGUUGGAUCUUUUUGGGAGAUCCUUGGGAUAUUUGGAGAUUAUACGGGGAAUAUAUGCAAAAUUUCCAAAUAAGGAAAUGUAUCUCACAGUACUGCGAGAUUAUGUUUGGAGUCGGCGACUGCUCUGUGGAGUCGGCGACAGUGGCGUGAUACGAGGGAUUUGGAGAUCGAUUCCCGAUCUCAAAUUUUGUAAAUUUCGGAUUUUCUAGGGGUUUUUUGCAAUUUUCCCAGGGGCUAUAAAUAGUGAAGAGUUCUCCCCAAAACCUCACAACACUUUUCGCCUCCUCAAUCGCCUAAAACCCUAGAAUUUUCUGUCGCCGAUUCCCUUGUUUUAUUUCUUGAAUCGACGAUUCCCACGCAAUGUCUUCCCCCGAUUCCCAUUUCUUGGCUGAAUCUGAAACGUCAGCCUUUGUUGCUGAAAUAACAGCUGGUCUGGACGAGGUGUUGAACACCGUAGAGUCGCUGAUUCCCUCUCCUGACAGAGGGGUUGAGUCGACGACUCCGGGAGUUCCACCUUCUACUGUGGUCAUGAGUGCCUCUGUGCACAAACUCCUUGGCGCUUCGCCAGUGUCGGCGACUCCCCUUGUGGAGUCGGCGACACAGUGCAGGGCCCUUGUAGUCGUGCGAGAGCCUCUCGAGCUGGGAGGGAUUCCCGAGUCCUCUGUGUCGGCGAUUCCCAUCGUGGAGUCGGCGAUACAGACUGGGUCCAUUAAGGGAAAAUCUUUUAGGCGGAGAGGGCAAGGCUCAGGUGCCACUGGGUCGGUGACUGCUGGCCGUGACUCGUCGAUCCUUCUCAUUGGAUCGGCGACUCGAGGGCCAGAGUCGGCGACUCCCAUGGAGGUUGAUGACUCUUCUGCGCGCCACACCGCUCCGUUGGUCGUGAAUGCGGAAGGUCACAUUGUGUCGGGACUGAACCCGCACCGGGAGUCAUCCGUGGGUGAUGGCUCUCUUAGACGAAAAAGAAGACGCACCACUGGUCAGGGCAAAAUUCAUGUGCCCGGACAAGAUGAGGGGGUCCCUCCGCCUCUGAACAUAAAUUUCGAAGAGGCGUUGCAUAUAGACCGUGGUGCUUCCAACCCACACCGUAGAGCGAGUCGGUGCUCUGUUGAAAGAACUCCGCCACCUCCCGUGGACUUGGAUUCCAGUCGAGAUCCGGACCUCGACUUGGACACAUACAUUGGAGCUUUGAACCCAUCUGGGUUCGCUCACUGUGAAGUUGCCGUGAACGGCGAACCAAGGUUGCUCCCUAUAGGCCGCUCUGGGGACGGCGAAUUCGAGCAAGUGAUGACCCAUGCCGACUUGGAUGGCUCUGACGGACUGAACCCCCCUCCAACCUUAACGCGAGCGAUGCUCGAGGCUUGUUAUUGGGGGUUCAACUCUCUGGACAUCUGCGAUUCUGGAUAUCGCGCUAUCAGCCUGCGAAUCUUCCACCCCCAGGAUUCCAGGCCAUCCCACGGAUCUACUUUAAGCACUUCUCUGAGUUGCCGAUUCCGGAGAUAAUCAGCGAAGUGCUACUUACUUUUGAAGUGUCCCUGUCGCAGCUCCCGGCGGGAUUCUUCGUGAUCCUUCGUGGUUUCCUUAACAUCUGCUGGGGCCUGAAUAUCAAUGCCACCGCAAGCUUGUUCCUUCACUACUACAAGUGAAAGAGAACUCAAGAUCUGGUCGCGUUGGAUUUACGCGACGUCACUUUGACAAGAACAUCGUCGAAGAACUGCCGACAAAUUUUGGUUGUAACUGGAAGAAGGAGUUCUUCUUCAUCACCUCUGAGUUUCUUCCAGGGAGUCGGGAAGCGUGGAAUGAUCCCCAUCGAGUGCAUAUGAAUGCUUCGAUUGGGUUGACUACGAGGGACAUAGAAGCCUCUGAUCGAAUAGCGUGGAUCUUGACCGAAUACUCCGUGCCGUGCGGUGUUCCCUUUGUCCUUUGCCAGAGGGAAGACUUCACUUUUGAGGAUGUGGAAGAAGCUCAGAAGCCACUAACAGAGAAGGAGUUGGAGGGCGGAAAAAAGCGAUCGCUUUUAUACUUUGACGCCGCUCCUCUCUACAUGCGCAAGCGGUUCCGAGAGGACAAGCUCAUUCGACUAAGGAAGAAGAGCAAGCGUGCUGAACCUCGUCGGACCUUCGAGAAGGGAUCAAUCUGCACAGCCACCUCCUGCUAGUUACGUGCCCUACACUUCUGGUGUAUCGCUUCCUGAUUUCAAUGCUGAUCCUGAAACUCGGAGGGAAGCGAUGUCACUCCUAAUGGGCCAGUCUGGGACGUGGUAUCGGAGCGAGCUGCUCAAGCAUAUGACUGCUAUUACGCCGACUCCAUUCAUGAUGUCGAGAAGAUUCAAGAGAGAUACAACCAGCUCGACACAAAGUUCAAGGAGAGCGAGAAGGUCUUGGACAAGCUGAAGAAUGUGAGGUCCCGGAUGGAGAACCUGAUCGAAAAUAUUCUGCCGAAGAAGGACAAGACGAUCGAGUCCAAGCAGAAAGAAAUAGAUGAAUAUGUCGCGAAGAUAUUGGGACUUCGCAAGGAGCUGAGAUCUGCCACUGCUGACCGCACCAAAGAGAUUGAAGGUUUAAAGAGUCAGCUAGCCGGUGAGAUUGGGCACGUAGUCUCACUUGAGGCUACCAUCGCAGAUCUGAAAAAGCAAGUUGCCCAAUAUCAAGGAGAAACAACUGGGCUGAAGAGUGAGCUAGCUAGUGCAGAAGAGGAGAUUUUGGCUCUCACGAAAGACAACUCUGCACUCUCCGGGAAAGUUGCAGGAUUGGAAUUGGACGUGCGAUACCAAUCCGAUCAGCUUCAAGAGCUCAUCUUCUUUGGUCCUUCCGUGUUUCUUUCUCUACCCCCUGACUACAUCACGGACAUAAUGGCAUGGGUAGAGCAGCAUCCUGAGGAACUGGAGAAGAACAAGGAUGCUUUGGACAAAAUGAAAGGCGAAGCUGCCCAAGAAUAGAUCUUCUUAGUCCUUAGAUAUUUUGUAUUCUUGUUAUCAUUUUUUAUAAUCCUUUUUGUCGAACUUAAUGAAUGAAUAGUUUUUCUUUUCUUAUUAAUUGUUCAUUUACUUUACUCUUUUGAAUUGUAACUAAGACCCGAAACUAGAUUCGCGAGUCGUAAUUUAGCCGCUCUGGACGUAAAUUAGACUAACCCUAUCGCUAGCCACUCUGGGCGUAGACUUGGUCGUACGAAUCGUAGCUUAGUCUACGGUUAAAUUCGCGAAAAUAAAUUAAGCUUCAUAACUAAUAGAAACUCGCAAUAUCGAUUAAACUAACAAGUUCGAAAAACAACAAAAAAUAUCGAAAGAUAACAAAAGGAUGUUGAUAAACCUUAAGACUCUAGAAUUGUAUUGUAGUUUCACUCCGGCCGUAGCGACGGAGUGAUUUUUUACCUUCAUCGAGGCCAUAGCGACAAGAUGAGGUUGGAUCGUUAUAGUCAUAGCGACAAAACGAUUUCUAAUCUAUUGAGGCCAAAGCGACAAAAUAGACUAGCGAGAAUUUGGAAACCCUAACCGUGAGUGAUGCAAAAAAAUUUUAGGGUUUUAUUCGUGUGUUCUCUAUAUAUUCCUGUGACUUAUACCCUUGUAGUUCACCUCUGGCCAAAGCGACAGAGUGAUCUGAACCUUCAUCGAGGCCAUAGCGACAAGAUGAAGUUAAAUUGUUAAGGCCAUAGCGACAAAACAAUUUCUGAUCUAUUAAGGCCGGAGCGACAAAAUAGAUUUUCUAUUUAGGGUAGAGUCGUAGAUAUGGGGGAACUUAGAGAAAUGUAACUUUUUAUUAUUUAAAAAAGAGAAAAAACAUAUGUUUGAAAAUAAAAUCUAACUAUUUUAUUUUGCUAUACACUGAAAUGACCUAAGGAAUGGGAGGGUCAAUACUAAGCGUAGUAUUGUUGCAUGUUUUCUGCGUGCCAGGUGUUUGGAACCAUUGUUCCAUCCUGUCGUCGUAAGCGAUAAGUUCCUGGCCUUAUCUCUUCUUCGACGAUGUAUGGACCCUCGAAGUUGGAUGAUAACUUAUUCCUUGGUCUAUUCCUUUUAGUGAUACUAGCCUUCCGCAUGACAAGGGUUCCCAGCAGAAAUACUUUUUUGCGUACUUGGCGAUUGUGGUAUCGUGAUACGCUGGCCUUGUACGAUUCAUUCCGUAGGUCUGCCUCGUCGCGGGUUUCAUCCUUCAACUCUAGCUCUGUAGCUAGGUUUUGGUCAUUGUUUUGCUCGUCGUACUUCGAGACCCUGUAUGUUAGUAUACUCAUCUCGAUUGGCACGACGGCCUCUACUCCAUAUGUCAUAGCGAAGGGGGUGUUUCCUGUGGGAUUUUUACUAGUUGUGCGAUAUGCCCAUAGAAUUUCGCACAACUUAUCCGCCCAGGCCCUUUUUGCCGAUUCGAUUUUCUUUUUGAGCCCUUGUUGGUUACCUCCACUUGUCCGUUUGCCUGUGGUCGGUAAACGGAAGCAAAGUGGAGUUUUGUGCUUAGGUCCUCGUACAUUCUCGAAAACUUCCCCCCUGUGAAUUGGGUACCAUUGUGUGUGACAAUGUGUUGGGGAACUCCGAAUCGGCACACUAUGGAGCGAUAUACGAAUUUGACUGCCGCAUCUUGAGUGAUCUUUGCUACAGCCUGAGCCUCGACCCAUUUUGUGAAGUAAUCAACUGCCACAAAAAUGAAUCGAGCUUGGGAUGUCGAUUGUGGGAAUGGUCCUACGAUGUCCAGUCCCCACCUUGCAAAUGGGAUCGAGCUCAAGUUCGGAGUCAUGUCCGCGGAUGGUUUUUGUUGCAUUGGGCUAUGCAACUGGCAUGCUCGGCACUUGCGGACAUAAGUGCGAGCCUCUAACCGUAAUGUGAGCUAAUAGUACCCCAACCGUAUGAUUUUAAAGUCUAGUGCUCUUCCUCCCUCAUGGAGUCCGCACGAGCCUUCGUGUACUUCCUUGAUGACCUUAUCAGUAUCGGGUUUGGUCAAACAACGCAACAACGGGUUGUCGAAGGACUUUUUGUAAAGUACCCCUCCGACUUCGCAGUACUUGGCCGCUUUAUGUUGCAACUUUUUGGCCUCACCCCUAUUGUCGGGAAGUACACCACUUUGAAUGAAUGCCAGUAUUGGUUGUCUCCAAUCCUCUGAGGGGUCGGAUGUGACAUUCAAUAUCUGGCACGAUGGCUGGAGUACAGAGUCUACCAGGAUUUCACGAUGGCCUCCCUCUCAGGCCGAUGCUAGCCUUGCUAGAGCAUCGGCGGGUGUGUUGUGAGUUCGAGGAAUUUGCUCGAUUUUAAACUCAGCGAAUUGUUUGGUGAGUUCUACCAUGGCUUCCACAUAUUUUGUGAUCUGUGGUUCUUUGCAGGCGAACUCACCCGUGGUUUGUCGAGCCACGAGCUGGGAGUCAGUGCGAAGCGUGACUUUCUCAACGCCGAGAGUUCGCAACAGCUUUAGGCCAUGAAUGGAUGCUUCGUAUUCCGCGACAUUGUUUGAUGCCGGGAAGUGGAGCCGUAUCGAGUGUUCAUAGUUUUUUCCAUCUGGACUAUGGAUUUUUACUCCGAUACCUGAGCCUGUGCUGCAACUCGACCCGUCUACUUCCACAGUCCAUGGUUGGGUUAGGUUGGAUGGUGUGAGUUCGACCAUGAAAUCUGCCAUAGCUUGCCCCUUGAUGGCAGUGGCUGGUCGGAAAUCCAAAUUGAACUCACUAAGCUCAAUUGCCCAUUUAGUUAACCUUCCCGAUAUGUCUGGCUUGUGGAGUAGACAGCGUAGGGGACACGAUGUAAGUACUACAAUCGUGUGCGCUAAGAAAUAUGCUCGGAAGCGACGACAAGCGUGGAUUACAGCGUACACGAUUUUCUCAGUCGGAGAAUACCGUACCUCUGCUCCUUGUAGUCGCCUCGAGUGAUAAUAGAUGGGGGCUUGUUCCUUAUCUCUUUGCGCGAUAAGGACUGCACUUACGGCCUCUUCUGAGGCUGCUAUGUAUAAGUACAGAUCUUCCCCAUCCCUGGGUGAGGUCAGCAUUGGAAGUGAGGACAUGUGUGUUUUUAACUUGGUAAAUGCCUCCUCACAUUCCGGUGUCCAAGUGAUACUACCCUUAGCCGCAGUUUUUAGUAGUUGGAAGAACGGUUUGCAUUUGUCAGCCGUUUGCGAUAUGAAACGACUGAGUGCAUUGAUUCGUCCGUUCAACCUUUGUACUUCUCUAAUUGUGCGGGGGGCUUCCAUAUCAAGUAUUGCUUGGAUUUUGUCGGGAUUUGGUUUAAUCCCGUGCUGACCUACGUAAAAACCAAGGAACUUACCUUCCUUGAUUCCGAAGGAACACUUGUUUGGAUUAAGCUUCAUUCCGUAUUGCUUUAAUGUCCUAAGGGUUUCUCUCAGAUCCUCGGGGUGCUUUUCGACGCUUGUUGAUUUGACCAGAAUGUCAUCAACAUAAGCGGAAACAUUGCGCCCGAUCUAAUCCGCGAAAACCUUGUCCAUUAAGCGUUGGAAUGUAGCUCCAGCAUUCCUUAAGUCGAAUGGCAUUACUCUAUAACAGAAUGUCCCUGAGUCCGUAAUGAAGGAUGUUUUCUCUUCAUCAGGCUCAUGCAUCAGGAUUUGGUUAUAUCCUGAGUGGGCAUCCAUCAUGGAGAGGAGUUCGUUACCAGACGCUCCGUCGACUAACUCGUCGAUGGAUGGGAGCGGGUAACUGUCCUUGGGACAUGCUUUAUUGAGAUCUGUGAAAUCAAUGCACAUGCGCCACUUGCCAUUGGGCUUCUUGACGAGAACGGGGUUGACCAACCAAGUUGGAUAUCGAACUUCUCGAAUGUGCCCUGCACUUAGAAGUUUCGAUAUCUCUUCGUUGGCGGCCUCCCGCCUGUCAGAGAUGAGCACUCGACGCUUUUGGCGACGAGCUGGGAUGGAUGGGUCGACAUUAAGUUUGUGCGUCACGAUUUGACGCGCAAUCUGUGUCGGAGCCUCACCCUCCCAACCGAACCUGUCCUGGUGCUCCUCCAGGACAGUCAUAAGCUUGGCUCUUAGGUCGGGGUCCAACCUUUUCCCUAAUGCCACGUGCCCCCCUUUCAUCCACGGGUUGCAAUUUUUCCCUUUCCCCGUUGUCGGGUGGGGCGUGGACGAGCAUACUGUUUAGUUUAACCAGCUGAGUUGCCUUCUUAUACCCCUGUCUAGAAUCCUUUUGUGAUCCUUUGACAGUUGCAAUGAUCUCGUUGAUUGGGUAUCGUAUGCAUUGGUGAUAAAAGGAUGGGACAGCUUUGAUCCCGUGGAUGAAGGGUCGUCCAAAGAUGCCGUGAAAAGUGGAUUCUACCUCCACCACUAUAAAACGGCAUGUUCGACUAACCCUUCCCUUUCGGGAUCCGAUGGAGACCUUCAGGUCAAUAACGCCGGCCACUGGGGCGGCGACGUUGUAAACCCAUAAAUGGCUUCCUUGCAAGGAGACAGAUCCUCCUUCUUAAGGCCCAUUUUGAUGAAGGUGUCCAUGUAGAGGAUGUCCGCGGAACUGCCGCUGUCGACAAUCAUCCUCUCGACCCGGGAUGUCGGACCGAUGUCUGCUUGGAUCACGAGUGGAUCCACGUGGGGCAGCAGGACAUCGUUUAGGUCCUCUUCGGAGAAGUAUGUUGACUUUCCUUCCCGAGCCCUUUUCCCAUUGUCGCGAGGUGUAGACUGUGACAUCAGCACCUUCCGGGAGUAACCCCUAUUCUGAUCAACGGAUCCGCCACCAAAUAUCAUAUUGAUGGUUUUCCGCUGGCGGUUCUCGCUACUGUUGCUGUCCGGCGAAGGAGAGCGUGGACGCUUCCCCUUUGGGUCAGAUUUACAACCGUCUCGUCCUCGGGAUCCCUUGACGAAGUUGCCAAGUUCACCCUUUGAGACCAGUUGCUCGACGUAGAUCGAGAACUCCCUGCAGUGGUCGAUGAGGUGGCCGUGCUGGUCCUUGUGAAACUUACAGAACCUUCUACCCUUCUUGCGACUACUUUUAGUUGCAAGGUCCAGAGAACGGGCAGGAGGUAGAUCUGGCCGGUUCUUGAGUUUGUCAAACAGUUCGCCUUUAUUGAUUGUCAGAGGGGUCCACUCCUUCCAUGGUUGGGAUGGACCCUUUGGCGACUGUUUGGUGGUUAUUUGAUGCAGUUUAUUAUCGUGUUUGGGCUUCCAUUCCUUUUUGUAGGAAUUAGCCGCAUUGUCAGUGUAUUUGUUCGAAGAGCCUCGGAAACUAUUUUUUCCGCCGUAGCUCUUUUUCUCGAACUUUGGUUUUUUGAAGCUAGUGUUCUCAAGUUCCACUAGCUUAUUCUCGUUCUGCUCUUCUACCUCAAUAAACGAUUGGGCUGUUUGGAAGAGGUCAGGUAGAGUCUCCACCUUAUGGAGAGUGAGAUGCUGGGCCAGAGGGGAGUAGGGUACUAGCCCAUUCGUGUAUCCCGCUAUGGCCAGACUCGGGAUUAAGUCACUCACUUCUGUCAUCAUUGAAGUGAACUUAAUAGUGUAAUCCCUCAACGACAGCUUGUUCUGUCGUAGUGCCAGCAGUGCGUUGGCACUGUGUUUGAUCCUAAUCAUCCCCACGUGUUGGGCGAUGAACUUGGAUGAGAGGUCCGUAAAGCUGGAGAUUGAUCCAGCUGGCAGACCAGAAAACCACCGAUAGGCGCUGCCCUUGAGAGUGCCAGGGAAUGCCUGGCAUAACAGCGCGUUAUCAGUGGUUUGCGGUUCCAAGACACUAAGGUAGAGGUUGAUGUGAUCUCUUGGAUCACCCGAACCAUCGUACGCUUCUAUCCUGGGUACCCGCCAGGUUUGUGGAAAAGACACCUUCAAAAGGUCCUCUCGAAAAGGAGCACUUUUGAUUCUCAGAAAUUCCAUCGGACCGCUGGCGGCUGGGUUGCCAGCCAACUUCCGACGAAGGUCUUCCACAAAUCGUGUUGUAAGAGUCUUUUCAGUGUGACUCUUACUAGGUCCAGCCUUUGCUUUUGAAAGCUCUGGACCAUCCUUCUUUUUCUCCCCAGAUGGAGAAUUAUGAGAGGCUGAUUCACCCGCUCCUUCGCGGGCGACGGUCCUCUGACUCCUCGCUUUCUCGAGAUUGUUGACUCUUUGUUCCAUGUUAUCCAUGAAUCUAAUCAACCUCGCUUCUAAAGCGGGAGGGAUGGAUGUUUGAGGGAGCAGACUGGCUUGAGGCUCCUCAGGCCUUUCUUGCCUGUUUUCUUGAGGAGGGUCAGUCUGUGCCCUGUCAGCUACCAUUGAGGAUUUGCCUUUGUUCCUCAUAUGGUAGUCGUGCUUUUGCCUUUCGGAAGUCAUUGUUGACAAAAGCGUGUUCCAACUAGAGCGCAAGUGCUUGCUAGAAUUAACUAACCCGAGAGAAAGAACCAAUUGGAGUCGGCGACUCACAAGAGGUGUCGGCGAUUCACAAGGUGGAAUCGACGACACACACUAGUGGAAUCGGUGACUGCUUUAGGUAGCUUUUCUUUCGAGUCUGGCCGUGGACAGCACUCUUAGCUAGCAGAAUAACCCGCAAUCGGAGACUCACUAGGUGGAGUCGGCGAUUGCCUGUGUGAAUCGGAGAUUCCUUUACACAAAGUUAGCGACUCACCCUAAGGGAAUCGAGCUAAGCUUUGCGAAGAAAAUUUCGUGAUUACGACGGGAUAUCGUGGUUCGAUUAUCCCACAGACGGCGCCAGCUGAUGAAGCAUGGAAUCUGCUACCAGUAGGCUCGCGGAGUUGCGAGAUGGGCCGGAGGCUAUGGAGUCCACGACGCGCGCUCUACGUCAAACACCUGCAGAAGAGGAGGGGAAUCGACGACUCUCUUGGGAGUAGGCGAUUCGGGCUCCUGGAUGCUCUAGUGUGGAGUGUGUUGGUCAAGUGAGGACGUUAUGAAUGGAGAACACUCCUAGGACCCCUUUUAUAGGGUCCUAGAGGCGUUUCCAUUCAAUUGAGUGGGGCCCGCCCCAUUAUGGUACCCUAUUGAAGGGCUCCAUAAUGGUGUGGGCCCGCCCGCGUAACGGUUGGGAGUCGGCGACUCAGGUGUGGGAAUCGCCGACCCAGAGGUGGAGUCGCCGACUCCUUUGAGGCCAAGUCCUCGGUCUACCAGACCCGAGUUCCCUGGCCGGAGUCGGCGAUGCACCCCUGGAGUCGGCGACUUGGUAGUCCCAGUCGGCGACUCCCAAGUGUUGCCUUGGGCUCUUGACGUAGACACGUGCUCCGCACCGUGGAAGCCUUCCGGGGGUCCGGCAUAUAGCGACGGAACCCUAUUCCUUGUUUGAAGGACGUUGCUGGGAGUGACUGACGUAAUCAGGCAUGUCUCACCACGAUGUAUGAUCCCGUACUCUUCAAGCAUUGGAGUCAUUUUCUUAAACCCUAAUGCAUUAUCGGUUUAAAAUUCUUUAAUUGAACACUCGUUUGAUUUUCAGCAAUCUUUUUAAAUUUGAGGAUUAUUUGUCAACUUGUGAUUUUCUUUGAAGUGGAAAUAACCAGUUGUAAUUAGUACUUGCGUCUAAGAAAUUCACGUAAUACCAAUAUCCUUCAGAUGAAACACACGGGGCCGGACCCCAUAUAUCAGCUAGAAUUAAUAACAAAGGCUUAUCAUAGACCGUUGAUUUAAUAUGAUGAGGCAAGGCAAAUGACUUUCCUACCCUACAUGAAUUACAACAGUUCGAAUCCUUACACGAUAUUUGAAUUACUUUUUCUUUUACUAAUUGAUCAACCGCCUUUUGAUGCAAAUGACCCAACCGGUAACAGUGCCAAAUUUUAUUUGUAGUUCUUUCACCCAACAGUGAGGUAGAACCUUGACUUAUGUUAACCGGUAACCGAUACAAGCCAUUUUCUUGAUCCCCUUCCAAGAGUACCUCCUUAGUGACCACAUCUUUUACCUUUACACUCUGAGAUCAAAUUCCACAAAUGCAUUAUUACCUUAUCUGCUUCACUAAUCUUUUCUCCAAUUAGCUGCAUUUCGUCGAUCAAGGCCUUGGCAUGAGAAAUGUAUGCCCACAUCGACAUCGCUUCCUUCUUCAUCGUUAGAAAUUGACAUCGGAGGAACAAAAUCCAGGUAACUGAACCCGACGAAUACAGCUUGGACAGAGCUUUCCAGACCUCAGCGGACGAUGUCAAACUCGCCACUUGAGACAAAAUGUUAGGCGACAAUGAUUGGAAGAGUCAUCCCAAGAGUAGUUGGUCCUAUGCCGAUGAGAACACAGGUGGCCUGAGCCUUCCACGAGACAUAGUUGUCUUUGGUGAGAGUGACGAAGAAGAGCUUCUUCAUGUGAAGAACUUCCCCUGAACGAGUGACGGAUCCAUCAGCGUUUGUGGAAGCACCGGUACCUGACGAUGAUACCAUGAUAGUGAAUGGAGGAUGGUUGAUUGUGGAAGAAGAUGGUGGAGGAAGAAUGAAUGUUUGUUGAAGUGGAACCGUGGUUCAAUCCACUGGAUUCCUGUUAAUUUAUAUUCAUCAAAAUAGAUCUCAACAACUCACAAUUGUGGGCACUACACAACAACUAACUAAUUCUGUUUUAACUAAUUACAUAUUUAUAUUCCACACUAAUAGAUACUCAUCCAAGGUUGAAAAAAUUACCGACGAAGAACAAUGAUGAGACUACUGCAGAAACGGACGAUCGACAAUUAUGAAUGGUGACUGGAAAUGCAUUUCGCAAAAUAGAUGUCGUAGGAUUAGUUUAAAAUGAAGGCGUUCUACAGAAGUAAUCUUUUGCAGGAAAGAAUUGAAGUUCAAGAAGAUGAUUGAGAAGGCGAGAAAUUGAAAAACUAUAGAAGGUUGAGGGAUUGAAAUGGGUUUCAGAGGAAGAAAGAUGUAUGAUGAUUGACAUAAUCAAUAGGUAUUGGGUUUUGUUAAAUAACAAAGUAAUGACGACAAUUCAGGUAUAGGUAUAGUAGGUACAAAUAGGUCGUUCAAAAAUACAAAAUGGAAAUAAUACAAAUUGAAAUAAUAAUUUUUAAAAGCUAAGGAUUUGAUUGUGCCUUUUACCGAUUUUGCCAAUCACUAAUACACGAAAUUAGCAUCGUGUUUCCCUUUUUGAAUCCUGGCGGGCCAUGCCUGUUGUCCCUCCGAAAUGGAAUCUUCUAGAACAACUUCCUCAAUAGCCAAGUCUUCUUUCAAACGACAUAUUACUUCUUCCAAAUCCAGUCCAAUUGUAACAUUGAUCAUCCAAAGUGAUGGAUAAUUGAUCCGACGUAGCGAUGGAUGUGAUACAGCCGAAACAAUGUAUGUGUGAUCUGGUCUAAAAGAUGGAUGUGAUGCAGCCGAAACAUUUUCUCCCUUCCAGAAUAAUGGGUUUUUGAAAGUUUAAAGAAGUGACUCCCUUACGAUGAAGUCAUGAGAAACUGUGUACUCGAAGCCACAACGACGCGAAAUGACCUAAGAGUAGUGUGAUAUAACUAGUAGGUGAGUAAUAUUUUAGUACCUGAACUCUUAGGUUGAGUGGUAACGUGCCUAACCUUAAUAGUGAUAGGGUUGUCAAACUUAAUUAGGAUGAUAAUUAUAUUCUAAAUAUGGUAUGGUGUAUACCUAGGUACCUCCAUGAUUGAAUCAAAACAAGAAAUGAAAAAGGAGACCGGAUCGCCAAAACAACAUUUAUUUCCAGUUGAAAUUAUUUUCACACACACAUAACAGCAUGACACACAAAUCAACUAUUGGAGGGAGGUACCGGAUCGCCAUUGUGGUCUCUCGAAGGGUCAUAGUCGACUGUACGAUGCACCUUAUCACCACCACCAUCAUUUCCAACAAAAACAUCUCCAUAUCGAAGAAAACCAUGGUGUAAUAAAUCUAACGAAGAAGGCACUGGAUCAUACUGAAGGUUACUGAUGCGGCCGACAUUGACUAACGGACAUAAGAGAUAGUGAUAACAUCAACACAAUCACUGUGGAAGGAUAGGGAUUCAUGUUGUUUUGGCUGGAUUUCAU
rnacentral:lncRNA from 1 species